rnacentral:rRNA from 1 species
GAUGAACGCUGGCGGCGUGCCUAAUACAUGCAAGUCGAGCGAACGGACGAGAAGCUUGCUUCUCUGAUGUUAGCCGCGGACGGGUGAGUAACACGUGGAUAACCUACCUAUAAGACUGGGAUAACUUCGGGAAACCGUAGCUAAUACCGGAUAAUAUUUUGAACCGCAUGGUUCAAAAGUGAAAGACGGUCUUGCUGUCACUUAUAGAUGGAUCCGCGCUGCAUUAGCUAGUUGGUAAGGUAACGGCUUACCAAGGCAACGAUGCAUAGCCGACCUGAGAGGGUGAUCGGCCACACUGGAACUGAGACACGGUCCAGACUCCUACGGGAGGCAGCAGUAGGGAAUCUUCCGCAAUGGGCGAAAGCCUGACGGAGCAACGCCGCGUGAGUGAUGAAGGUCUUCGGAUCGUAAAACUCUGUUAUUAGGGAAGAACAUAUGUGUAAGUAACUGUGCACAUCUUGACGGUACCUAAUCAGAAAGCCACGGCUAACUACGUG